CCUACGGGAGACAGCAGUAGGGAAUAUUGCUCAAUGGGGGAAACCCUGAAGCAGCAACGCCGCGUGGAGGAUGAAGGUUUUCGGAUUGUAAACUCCUUUUGUUAGAGGAGAUAAUGACGGUAUCUAACGAAUAAGCACCGGCUAACUCCGUGCCAGCAGCCGCGGUAAUACGGAGGGUGCAAGCGUUACUCGGAAUCACUGGGCGUAAAGGGCGCGUAGGCGGGAUAGCAAGUCAGAUGUGAAAUCCUAUGGCUUAACCAUAGAACUGCAUUUGAAACUGUUAGUCUAGAGUAUGGGAGAGGUAGGUGGAAUUCUUGGUGUAGGGGUAAAAUCCGUAGAGAUCAAGAGGAAUACUGAUUGCGAAGGCGGCCUGCUAGAACAUAACUGACGCUGAUGCGCGAAAGCGUGGGGAGCAAACAGGAUUAGAUACCCGAGUAGUC
rnacentral:rRNA from 1 species